CAACAAGGGCGAUGCUCACCUCUGACACUGUGGUUCCAUCCAUAGCGCAGGCUUAUGCUCGGCUCACUUUCAGAGCCCUGCUUUGGACACGUGGAGCUCUUUGAUUUCAUCUCAUAAAACCUGAGGAGCCGAAGGGUGCUUCAGCUGCUUGACUGAGAUUCACAGCAAAUUCUUGGGUARUUGUCCUACAGCUUUGUGAUGGAAGGACAUCUGGAGUAACAAGGACAASCCUACAGCAGAUCGCUGCUGCUGGAGAUGAAAACUGUGUCUGACUUCUUCCCACAUGAUGGAUUGUAGGUAUCAGCCUAUGCCAGGAACAGAGGGUGCUGUGCCUUCAUCUGUAACAAGCAGCUGAAAUUUUCAAUUCCCUCUGAACAGAAGUGUGGGGUUUUCCAGCAGAAGGCAGGUGAAAAACCUGAGCUUGCACUUUUUACUGGAGAUGUCUUACCAUUUAUCCAAUAGUUGUCACAUUUUCUUCCUUGCAAAUUGAAGCUCUUGGGAAUUAAAAAAGGAGGAUUUCUGUCUAGACCUUAUUGUUAACAGUCUCUGUGGAACACAUCCAACAUCCUAGGGAAGGAGGUCACUUUCUUGAGUGCAGAUGGACUAAGGUUGUAUUAUCUGGUGGCCAUGUGCCAUUUCCCUUCUGUCCUGCCUUUCUUGAGAGGAAUUCAAUUUCUGUCUUCUCUAUAUUCCUCUGAUAAUAUAAUCUUGUUUGGAAGAGAUAAGUAUAGUCAUUUCACUAUUAAAAUUGACUGUGUAUGGUUUUUUCUCYGAGAGUCAGAAAAUUGGACAUGAUUUCAGCAAUGAGCUUUGGGAAUGGUAGGCUAUUGAUUAAUCCUCUGUCAUGCAGAUUGUAUUUGAAAACAAGACAGGUCUAUAAUUCUUUCCUUGAGUGACCUUUCUGAACCAAAUAGAAUAGUUUUAUUUGUGUUUUUUGGGUGAACUAUUAAGUAGAAAAUGUUCUGAUGUUUUCCCCAGAACUAGAAAUCCACGACUCUUGGGGCAUCAAUGAAAGUGUUUUUAUUUAAGUAAUGUAUGGCCCAAGAUAAGGAAGUGAAUUUGGAGCCUCGAAAUGAAGUWUAUGGCUUGGUCCCAUCAAAUAUAAUCAAGAACAAAUGAAGUUCUGUUGGGUUUCUUUGUCAUUUGAGAACUGCUGUAUUCAUAUAUGGUGGGAUAUUUUUCCUAGACAUUUUAGGUGAUGGAGGUUGGAGUUUUAUUGCACAGAUACUUGAACAAUCCCCAAACAUUCAGAAAUAGUUUUAUACGUGUACCCWAUGAACCACAUUAUCUUGAGCUUUGCCUUAGCAGCAAUUGUAUCAGCUGUUUUUCUGUAGUGCAAGCAGUGUUGCAAUUGUAGCAAAGAUCAAAAUUAGAUUUUACAAAGGAGAAAGGUGACUUUAUUAUAAAACAAGCAGAUUUUACUUGCUCUCACUCCCCUACUUGCAUAAUUGCAAGCUUUUUGAACUCUUCAGGAGCUUACAGUGAAUAGGAUUUUUCAUCUCUGUAUCCUUUCCUAUCUCUGGGAAAUCCUAUGGUUUUCUUAUAAUUUUUCAUCUCUCUGUCUGGGUGCUUAAAGCUCCAACCUUGUUCUUCAUCUUCUUCAUCACAAUCUCUUAACUGCCAUCCCUCUUUUUUGGCAGUCCAUUGUUUUUCCUACCUGGGUCUCUUCAGAAGCUGCACAUGGCUGCGCUGUGAUUUUGACGACCUGCAGAGCUGGGUACCAGCAAAACCUUCUGUUGCUCCUUCUGGUGUUUUCCCACCUCACCAUUCCCACUCUUUCUCCACAGGCCAACUUUAACCCUUCUAUUCCAGCUUUCUAUGCUUUCUGUGCYUGUUUUGAUUUUGUUCAGUUAAAAAUUUGCACAUAACUUUCUGUAGUACUGUAAUAUUUUUAUGAAGUAAUGAUGAAUUGCUCACUUAUUUCUAUAAUUUUCUUAACACUAUUCUAAUAAUAUGGACCUCCAAAUUAACUGUAUCAUUGGAGAGAUAUCCUGGUCCUGAUAAAAGCAGUCAGAAAGCCCAGAAAGUGACAAGCCCCUUAAAAUAGCAGCAUCAAUGUCCACCCUUCUGCAACCUGGAAAUCAUUUGAAAUGAGGCCAUAUUUGGAAGUCCAGACCUGAGGACCCAUUGUCUGAAUGGACUUUUGUCCAUGUGAGAAUAAUAAUACUCCUUGGCGUCCCUGACAGCUGUUCAACAGGUAAACGAUAUUUUAGGUAGUGAAGUUGAAAAUGCAGAGCUCCUGUAGCAUGCUUUUAAUCCCCUGGUUAUCCUCAGGGCUAACACAAACACAAAAUGAACACCCUUAAAUAGAGCUGAGCUCAGAAUUGGRAGCCUCCAGUGUCUGAAAUCAAAUGCAAGUAACAAAAUGUGCCCCGAGCCCACCCAUCUCAGGUGGCACUGGAUGCCCCUCUGGAAGGAGCCAAGCAGACAAAGGACCAGCUGCGUCGUCUGCCCGGCGCGGGGUUAUAUGUGGGGCUUUCUGGAGCAGGAGGAGGGGAGGUUCAUCCAUUAUUAAAACACAGAUAAUAGAAACUUUAUGCCCCACUGGUCUUGCAUUAGACAACAUGAACUGAAAGAUGAGGUCUCUGCUAAUUCAGUGCCUGGUACUCCUGAGACAGGCUCCCAUGUGAGGGGGAAGCAGAGAGCACUUGUCUGUCUUGUUCUGCCUGAUCCCAGCCACCYGAGGGUUCCUGCUCCUUCCCUAGCGAUGGCCUCCUGUGACAGCUUCACUUUGCUGGAACAAUAAAGCUGUCAGAAAGGAGGAGAAGACCAGCAUCUACACGAGCCAGGCUGUGGUCACAGGAUGCAAAGUCAGGCAAAAAGAAACGAUCUCUACUCAUGCCAGAUCAAGURCUUAAUGUAAAACAGAUUUCCAGCUCUCUCCUUCAGCAGUUGCCCUAACAGCAGCACCAUUCUCAAAAAGGAUAGUGUCCCACAGGCAAGCUUUGUCCUUCCCAGAGGGCUGGAAAAAGAUGGAUGUCUUUACAUUCAUUUCUUGAAGAAGAAACUAGGAUGCCGUGGGUUAUUCUCAGCAAAUAAGAGCAAGCUGGAAAAUCCCAUAGCUGUUCUCUCUUUCUGGUGGCCCCAUAACUUGAUAUGAUACGGGCCUUUUUCCUAUUAAACCGUGGGCUUUGAGAAACUCUACGCUGAGCAUAGCUACAAACAAGUAGAGGAAAGAAUGCUGAARCUAAUGGGGGUAGCAAUCCAUGUCUGAUGCAAAUAUUUGAUGUGACAAAAACUGCUAACACCCCCUGCMUCCAAACAGAAUGUUCCAGCCACAUUCUGCCUUGAAGUUUCUGAAACCAAACCAACGGUCUAUUUGGGGCACUCUGUAAAUGUGGAGUGUUUGCGAUUCAGGGAUUUUUUUUWAAACAUUUAGUGCAAUGAGAGACAACAUGUUUUCUGAAAGUGAACCAUUYCAUUCUGUCCCAUGCAUGGCUAGAUUCGUUUUGGUAAUCUGUGAUUUUGGCUAAGGUCCCAAACCACUGGCAAUGCAAGUCCUAAGCAGAUGACUCUUUAUGGUAGUGUUGGAUACCAGAAACUUAAAUAAUGAAGUCCGUAUUUUUUUCUUCAGUAGGAAAAAUAAAACCAUCUGAAUGAUAUUUAAUACAAAAAU